rnacentral:rRNA from 1 species
UACAGAGGAUGCAAGCGUUAUCCGGAAUGAUUGGGCGUAAAGCGUCUGUAGGUGGCUUUUUAAGUCCGCCGUCAAAUCCCAGGGCUCAACUCUGGACAGGCGGUGGAAACUACCAAGCUGGAGUACGGUAGGGGCAGAGGGAAUUUCCGGUGGAGCGGUGAAAUGCGUAGAGAUCGGAAAGAACACCAGGGGCGAAGGCGGCUGCCUGGCCCUGACCUGACGCUGAGGCGCGAGAGCGUGGGGAGCAAACCGG